GAUGAACGCUGGCGGCGUGCCUAAUACAUGCAAGUCGAGCGAAUGGAUUAAGAGCUUGCUCUUAUGAAGUUAGCGGCGGACGGGUGAGUAACACGUGGGUAACCUGCCCAUAAGACUGGGAUAACUCCGGGAAACCGGGGCUAAUACCGGAUAACAUUUUGGACCGCAUGGUUCGAAAUUGAAAGGCGGCUUCGGCUGUCACUUAUGGAUGGACCCGCGUCGCAUUAGCUAGUUGGUGAGGUAACGGCUCACCAAGGCAACGAUGCGUAGCCGAACGGAGAGGGUGAUCGGCCACACUGGGACUGGGCAACGGCCCAGACUCCUACGGGAGGCAGCAGUAGGGAAUCUUCCGCAAUGGACGAAAGUCUGACGGAGCAACGCCGCGUGAGUGAUGAAGGCUUUCGGGUCGUAAAACUCUGUUGUUAGGGAAGAACAAGUGCUAGUUGAAUAAGCUGGCACCUUGACGGUACCUAACCAGAAAGCCACGGCUAACUACGUGCCAGCCGCCGCCGUAA
rnacentral:rRNA from 1 species